UUUAGGAGCUAUACUUGCUAAUUGUACGUUGAUCAUACCUCCUUUCAAUCAGCUGAAGGACAAUAUAUUUUUAGUAGUCAAUCUCUCACAGGAAUAUUCUAUUAGCAGGCUUGUGGCAGUUCCAUCUUUUAUAAGGGCGAUUCUUCCUGCUUUGCAUAGCAUGCAUUAUCCUACAGCUCAGAUCUCCUUAAAACUUCUAGUGCUAAGUGGUGAAAUUUUUGA
rnacentral:misc_RNA from 1 species